AGAAAGGUUGAGUCUGGAGGUCUUCUGACCACUAAGGUUAAAGAUUUUGAGGACUCCCGAAGCCUCUAGUAAGCCAGGUUAGCAGGUUUUAACUCAGGCCUGGGAACGACCGGAAGCCUAACUCUCCACUCUAGACUGCUGGUGUCCUUUGCACCCAACCUCACCAAGACGCGGGUGCAAAUCUCUCUGAGGACUGCGUACGUGCCUCUCUGCGUGGGGGAGUGGGGAAUGCUGGGCUCAUCCUCUGGAACCCAGAAGGCCUAGCUUCUAGAACCGCUGCUGACAGGUGUCUGCGGAGGAGGCUCCCCAUCUGCUGGACCAACCGCCGGCUUCCUUCCUCUCCCCAGGACUGAGUCACUGGAGCAUCUAUCUGCACGCUGCGGUUUCGACUUUCCCCCAAGUGCAUAGCGAGAGUCCUGACGUUGCUACGGAAGUCAAGGAAAAGCCUUCUGCCUCCUCAGGCCUUCUUGCCCCUCAAAUUUCCUGUAUUUCUUCCCAUCUUACCUGUCCACGAGAUUUAGCUUAAUUAAAAAAUAGAUGUUUACUUCAUGUGUCUGUAUCAUACGCAUGCAUUACCUGUGGAGGCCAGAAGAGGGCGUCGGAUCCCCGGGAACUAGGAGUUACAGAUGGUUGUGAGCUGCUGCAUGGAUGUUGGGAAUGGAACCUCGGUCCUCUGCAGGAGCAGCCAGUCCCCUUUACCCAUGAGUCAUCUCUCCAGUCCUUUAACAACAUUUUAGGAAGCACUAUAGAAGAAGAAAAGUGCACCCGUUGAAACUAGGAUGGUAACUAUUGUCAAUUUGAUAGGAUCUAGAAUAACAUGGGACACAGCCUCUAGGCAAGCCUCCGAGGGGUUGUCCACGUUAGGUUACUUGAAGUAGAAGAACACCUUACGUGUGGGCAGCACUAUGGGCUGGGAUCCUGACUGAGUAAACCGGAGAAGGCGAGCUGAGCCCUCUUCUCUUCAGUUGUUCUUGGUAGAGCAUUUUUGCCACAGGAGUGAGAUAAAUAAUGAAGGCCACAAUGUAUUCUGAUAUCUAAGACACUAAAAUAAAAAAGAAAAGCACAUUUUAGAAUAGCAUGAGCUAUGCUGUCCACAUCUGAUGAAGUCACUGGUCAUAUUUGCAUUACUAGGUAAGUAUUAUCUGCAUCAAACUGGGAUUGCCUUUCUACUUACACACACACACACACAUUACACAUACACACACACACACACACAUUACACAUAUACACAAACACACACAUUACACACAUAUAUACACAUACAACAUACACAGGUAUACAUAUCAUACAUAUUCUCUCCUGGAUCUUACUGUGAGGACCAGGCUGACCUUGAACUUGUGGCAAUCCUCCUGCCUCUGUGUGCUGGAGCAUCUAUCUUUUACAGGUGUGUAACCAGCUUGCUCCAUUUGCCUUAUCUUUUGAAUUGUGA
rnacentral:lncRNA from 1 species